UACGUAGGGUGCGAGCGUUAAUCGGAAUUACUGGGCGUAAAGGGUGCGCAGGCGGUUCUGAAAGUCAGAUGUGAAAUCCCUGGGCUUAACCUAGGAAUUGCGUUUGAAACUACAGAACUAGAGUGUGGCAGAGGGGGGUGGAAUUCCAUGUGUAGCAGUGAAAUGCGUAGAGAUAUGGAAGAACAUCGAUGGCGAAGGCAACCCCCUGGGCUAACACUGACGCUCAGGCACGAAAGCGUGGGGAGCAAACAGG
rnacentral:rRNA from 2 species